UAGGGAAUCUUCCGCAAUGGGCGAAAGCUUGAUGGAGCAACGCCGCGUGAGUGAUGAAGGUCUUCGGAUCGUAAAACUCUGUUAUUAGGGAAGAACAAAUGUGUAAGUAACUAUGCACGUCUUGACGGUACCUAAUCAGAAAGCCACGGCUAACUACGUGCCAGCAGCCGCGGUAAUACGUAGGUGGCAAGCGUUAUCCGGAAUUAUUGGGCGUAAAGCGCGCGUAGGCGGUUUUUUAAGUCUGAUGUGAAAGCCCACGGCUCGACCGUGGAGGGUCAUUGGAAACUGGAAAACUUGAGUGCAGAAGAGGAAAGUGGAAUUCCAUGUGUAGCGGUGAAAUGCGCAGAGAUAUGGAGGAACACCAGUGGCGAAGGCGACUUUCUGGUCUGUAACUGACGCUGAUGUGCGAAAGCGUGGGGAUCAAACAGG
rnacentral:rRNA from 1 species